GGGAAAUGAGCGCAGGUGGUAGAAAACUGAGGGAAGCGAGGGGAAUUUAACACGGUUAUUACUGAGGAAAGCAGGGGGGGAAAGGAGACAUUGGUGUAGAGGAGUAUAGAACAGGGGGAAAUGCCCAAAUCCCCAAACACCCUCACACACACACAGGGGUCAGUAGGAUCAGCUGCUUCAAGAGAUUUUUGGGCAGCCCCAUGCUUAGGCUGCCUGCUGGAGAGCAUUUCUGACCACCCCAGCUCCUGCUUCCUUGGGGAAACCUUGAACAGGAUGAAGCCCAGCCUUUGCUGGAGAUGCCAGCCCAGAUAACACUCCUGGGGUGCCACAAAGCCACAAAGGACCCGAGAGGAGGAUGAAGGGACCAACUGCUCCUUUGCUGAAGGUCCGGAGCAGCGGAGCCGAGCGCGUGCUGUGGUCCGGAGCUAUGCUCUGCUCUGGCUGGUCAAACGGAACCAAGCCCGUCUUCCUCGGAGGUUUGGUCCCCUUCAACCAGCUAUAGCAGUGUGGAAAACACCAAGCCAGGAAGGUUUGUCUCGCUCUGCCUCGGCUCAGCCCCAUCAGCCCUUCCUCCCGGAUGGAUCUGCUACCGCUCCGAACGUCCCCAGAGGGGUGCCUGGGAUGAGGCACCUGGAAAGGCUGCCCUAUCAGACUUGCCUGGCAACUCUGAGUUUAAGCUCUGGGAUACAGGGAUAUACUGACGGAAGAAGGCGCGCACAGAAGGCGAGGAGGGCUCCUACGACCCGUACGACUUCAGCGACGCCGAGGAGGAGAUGCCACAGGGUGAGUCCCUGGGUUUGGUGA